GAUGAACGCUAGCGAUAGGCUUAACACAUGCAAGUCGAGGGGCAGCAUGGUCUUAGCUUGCUAAGGCUGAUGGCGACCGGCGCACGGGUGCGUAACGCGUAUGCAACUUGCCUCACAGAGGGGGAUAACCCGUCGAAAGACGGACUAAUACCGCGUACACUCUAUGCUGGGCAUCCAAUGUAGAGGAAAUGAAAUUCGCUGUGAGAUAGGCAUGCGUCCCAUUAGCUAGUUGGUGAGGUAACGGCUCACCAAGGCGACGAUGGGUAGGGGAACUGAGAGGUUGAACCCCCGCACUGGUACUGAGACACGGACCAGACUCCUACGGGAGGCAGCAGUGAGGACUAUUGGUCAAUGGGCGAGAGCCUGAACCAGCCAAGUCGCGUGAAGGAUGACUGUCUUAUGGAUUGUAAACUUCUUUUAUACGGGAUUAACAAGAGUCACGUGUGGCUCCCUGCAUGUACCGUAUGAAUAAGCAUCGGCUAACUCCGUG
rnacentral:rRNA from 1 species